GAAACAAAUGAGAUGCGCGCAAUUUUCAUGCGCUCUGGUGGUAGCUUGAAAUUACUGAAGAAAGACUUGUUGUUAUGGAUAUAAUGAAAAAUUUUUCAAAUGAAAGGAACUGCAGUCGCAGUACAGGGAAUAUAUUCAAACAGCAAUAUCAUGCGCUUUUUAGCUCAGCUCAAGUCUAGGAAGACAGCAAUGGAGGACUGCUGCACUGUAAAAAAUGAAUCCUGGUGCCAAGGAAAUUACACACAAAAAAUCAAGUAUGACUUAAUUUCUUGAAGCAGUCGCCUUAAAAAAAUAACUAUUAUGUUUUCCCCCAAAUAAAUCAACUACAUUUGCGAGAAAUAUAUUCAGAGAAAAUGUUCCCUAAAAGAAUUGUGGGAAAUUGCACAAUUUCUCGCUGAUAAAUGUGCAGCCUUUUCCUCAAAUAUUUUGAACAUCUGAAAAACGUCCUUCAGUUGAGAUUUUGAAAAGAAUGCCUCGAAGACGGACGCCAUUGAAGUUCAGCAUGGAAUAGUAAAAGGGUUGGCAAAAUGCUCAUCAAGGUCCAGUACCGUGGACUAAAAAAGUACCUCAAACUGCAGCCUGGUUUUUCUUAUGAAAGUUUCAUUGAAGAAGAAUUUGUGCCAGCAGGUUCUUCUACUCUAAAUUCUUCACUUUUCUGAAGUGAUAUGGAGAGGUCCUCUUCAAACAAGGGGCAUCAAUCUCCUGGUGCAGGAGAGAACACCUCUGCCAUAGGGGAUGCAGCAGAAAAGGCCAAAUGGAUGGUCCAGGAGGUUCUGGAGAAGAGUUCAGGAGGAGAGGAAACAAUGGAGGAGUAUAAGAGAUUGAGCACCUUGACACACUGCACAAGACGGCAUCAUAUCCUGGUCAGCCACAUUGUUGAAAUGCAUGGGAACUCUGGAUCUCAUUCAUAGUCAGCAUUGGGUCCUUGGUUACCUGUCUGACCAAGGCCCCUUUGUCCCAGGAUUACUCAGUUUGGCUUGCAUUUUUGCGGAGAGUUGGAGGAUUUUGUGUAGAUGUUGAUGAAGAUGAUAUGUUUGUUAUAUCUCUGUCAGUCGUCUGAAUAUUUUUAAAUGUUUUUUUUAAAUGCCCAAGCUAUUGUUAUUUUUUUUUUUUCUCAACGUCAGGUUUAAUUUACACUGAAUAAA